UAGGACAGAGAGAAUUAAGAACAAUCUAAGGUAAAUUUUUAACAAGAUGGUUUAGCUUGGGCCUUGUAGGUUUGCCUGAUGAAGUCAGUGGUAGCUUUUAGCUAAAAUAACCACACUGUUUGCACAAGCUGUCUGGGGUCAUUAGAAUGAUCGGACUGACUUACCUGCUGUUUGAACGGGUUGAGCCUCCGGAGGGACAGAAAACAAAAGGAGGGUGUUGAAAUGCAAACAGACAGCUCUGGGUUCCCGUUCCCAGCUGCAAAAUAAAGCUGAAGCUGACGUCAGCAUCUCCUCGGAGGCCUGUGGAAAAGCUCUGGGCAAACCUCGCAGGGCGCGUGUCUCCUCGUGGACUGGAGUCCAAGAUAAUCCUUACUAAACAUCUAUUCAUUCUACAAGGGAAAAUUUCGGGAGUGCUGGAUACUGACCUUGGCAAGAUGAAUGGACCCAGACUGAGCGAUGGGUUUGUGUGCGUUGCGGCCGACGUGCGUUCUGGCGCUUUGUCUGCCAGGUUAAGAAUAUUUUAGUAAUAGGAAAGGAGGAUUUAUGGCAUUUUAAUUAACACAAUGAAAGCUUAAACUUGCAGAUAAAACUAUUAGAUACAUUAUUUUCAGAGCUUAUUUUUUAAGACAAACUUGAUUUUGUUGCUUCAAGAAAGGACCUGCUGAUAAUUAAUGGCAACUUUCUUUUCUAUUUCAAUGUGACCACUUUAAUUGAUAUGCAAACAAUUACUUUUUAAGGGAAAUAAGGAGGCAGUGCAGCCUAGCGAAAAGGACACACUGUAUCAGAUUCUUCAUUGCUUAAUUAAAUUUGAGCUCUUAUUUGAUUUCUGCUAUGAACUGGCUGUGUGACUUUAGGUAAGUUAUUCAGCUCUUUUUUUUUAAUUUAUAAAAUUGGAAUGAGAAAUAUGUGACAGUAAAAAAAAAAAAUUUGUAAAAGCAUUUUAAAGUCCCGUGAGAAUGGCACAAUCAGAAACCACAGUUGGGUGGGUUUCUGAACUGAAAAAUACCUGAUCUUGUCAGCAAACCUAAAUUUUAGUCUAUUAGUUUAUUUUUUUUUUAAGGCAUCAUUUAAUUUCAGGUGCUUAUGAACUCUUCAAUUCGUUAAUGGAAAGAAAUGCCAUUUACACCGGAUGGCUACAUAGCGACCUUAUUCUGGUAAGAUAAUCUCUUAAAUCCUUAUAUACACAGUCACUAACUGUUGGCUUUAUAAGGUCAGCAGGAGCAGACGAGCUGU
rnacentral:lncRNA from 1 species